rnacentral:rRNA from 1 species
UACAGAGGGUGCGAGCGUUGUCCGGAAUCACUGGGCGUAAAGGGCGCGUAGGCGGCCUGAUAAGUAGGGGGUGAAAUCUUGCGGCUCAACCGCGAGGCUGCCUUCUAAACUGUCAGGCUGGAGCACGGUAGAGGCAGAUGGAAUUCCCGGUGUAGCGGUGGAAUGCGUAGAGAUCGGGAAGAACACCAGUGGCGAAGGCGGUCUGCUGGGCCGUUGCUGACGCUGAGGCGCGACAGCGUGGGGAGCAAACAGG